ACAUUAGUUGAAUGUGGCAUUUAAUAUGUAUUUUAUUGAUAUUUUAACAUCUGCACGUUAAAGUAGGUACGUGGAAAUAUCCGUUUUACGGAACCGAAUUUUGUGCUAAAAAACUGUGCCACGCUUUUUAGAAUUUUUUUUAACUAGCGUUGGGAAGACGUGUUUAGUUGAAAAACUUUUUAGAAUUUGAUAUCAAUAUAGACUAUUUUUAGAAACUAGAAUAGUUAAUCUUUAUUACUGUGAGCUUCAUUAUUUUACUGGAUGGCUUUUUUAUUGAGUUUUUUGAUGUCUAAAACUUAGUUGUACUUUGGGCAUGAAAUUAAUGUCGAAGAUAUGCUCUUUUUUUUUCUAUACUAUUCUUUUUUUUAAGUUUUUCAUUUAUCUAUGCACCUGGAAAAUUUCAUUGAAAAAGAAGUUGUAGCAGGGUGUCUAUUUUUUGUCGCACUUUUCCUACCUAAUUUUCAAUUUUGCUGAAGUGGUCGCGGGAGACAGAGGGGUUAAAUAAACAUUGUUUACAUUUGAUUUUGAUUAAAUAAAACUUUCAGUUUUUUUUUAGAUUAAAUAAAAUGGAAAACAAAGAUGUUGAUAAAGCAACACUUACUUCAUUAAUUGUAUCAUCUAUAGCUGCUCUAUCUAUACCACCAUUAUCUGUUUCAGCUGUUCCACCUUCCACUGAUCUAACUGUGCCAUCAUCAUCUACUCCAACUGUGGCAUCUUCAUCUGCUUCAACUGUGCCAUCAUCAUCUACUCCAACUGUGCCAUCAUCAUCUGCUCUAACUGUGCCAUCAUCUGCUCCAACUGUGCCAUCAUCAUCUACUCCAACUGUGGCAUCUUCAUUUGUUCCAACUGUGCCAUCAUCAUCUACUCCAACUGUGGCAUCUUCAUCUGUUCCAACUGUUCUUACAUAUGAAGACUAUUGCCAGUAUAGAGCUCACCACCCAGGACCACUGUCGCACGCUUCUUUUUUCCGUUGGUUGCGUUAUGGGGGGGAAGACAGGCAAUCUUUUGAAUGGUCUUGUCGCCCCCCAUACUUGGGUGGUGGGACCCAUCAACGUAGAGGAGGUAGAAGAGGAGGCAGAAGAGGAGGCAGAAGAGGAGGCAGAAAAGGUGGGCUAGCCAAUGUUAAACUAAAUUGUUAAUGAUUUCAUUGGUUUUAAAACCUCCACUUCAACCAUUUAUUUGUUAUCAAAGGUGAAAUGGCUCCAAAAAAAAAGCUAUUGAUAUUUCGUGGAGCAGCCAACAAAUAUUUGACUGCUAACUUUAAAUUACCUUAUGAUGCAAAUAUUCAAUGUAGAAAUGGACACAUACUUUUUAUUUCAUUAACAAUGGUGAGUUAUAUAUCAAAACUGUCAAACAAGUCAAUGAGUUAUUUAGCAUUAACACUUACACAAAUCAUAUCCAAAAUGUAGUUAAUGUAGCAAAAAAAUGGACAAGUAACUAUAAAAGAGACAGUAAAUAUUUUGAGGAUUUUUGCAAUGAACUCUUUUCAUCUUAUAUACCUAACUUGACAAUUUCACAUUUAUCCCAGCUUUGCUCUAGUGUUUUCCCUUGUGUUUUAUCACCUGGAGAACACAACCGGUUUUUGUCUGUUAAAGAUAGUGAAGUGUUAUCUUCAGCAAGUUGCAGUAAUAAUUAAAAGUUAUUUGCACUUCAAGACAAGAAAUGACAAAUAGAGAAAAAAAAUUAAAGAGUAGAGCAUCAUAUUUAGCUACUCAGUUAGCUAAUUCUUCUAGAAAAUAUCGAAGCAAUAUAACAUUAGUUAAAUCAAAAUUAAUUAGCAUGCCAUAUAAACUAAAGGUUUUAAGGCAAAGUGUUAAAAGAAAAGAAGACAUCAUAAAAGAUUUAAGGACGACAUUGACAAAAUUAAAAAAAAGAAUGCAAACAUAUUAUUAUAGACGACAAAUUCGUAAUCAUAUAGCAACAAUAAAAACUUUAAAAAGUAGUGAAAAACAAAAGUUGCAGCAACUGAAGGUCAAACAUAACACAGAUACAAGGGGAAUUAAAAAGGUGAUUGUUAGUUUGGAAAAUGAUUUGCUUGAGAGGGAUGAGAAUGAAGCUACACUUUUAAACUUUACUAAAAAAGAAAAAAAAUAUUCAUUACAGAUGAGAAUGAUAAUUUAUAACAUGUUAUUGUGUAAUGUCCCAACAGGUAGCAUUCCAUUAUUGAUUCAGAAAAUUGGGCAAAUUAUGGGUUUUGUUUUUACUAAUACUCCCCAUCGUAAUACUGUUGAACAAAUGGCCCGUGAGCUUGGUAGUAUAUCAAGUUUGCAAGCAGCUGAAUGGGCUAUCACAAAUAGUCAACUUACUAUUGGUUUUGAUGCAACAACACAAGAAGGUGUCCAUAUUAACAGUAUUCACUUAACUUCUAAAGAUAAAUGUCUAGUCGUUGCUCUAGACCAAUUACCUGGUGGAACUGCUGAGGACUAUGAAAACCAUAUAUGUAAUGCCAUUGAUCAUAUGGCUUUUAUUUAUUCAGAUUUUCACUUGUGUAACUAUAAUGAAUUUCGUAAUUCAAUUAUUAAAAACAUUUCAAACACAAUGUCUGACAAAGUUGCUGUUAAUCAUCUCACCAUCAGCAAAGUAUGUGCUACAUGGGGAAAAAAUCUUAAUGAAAUGAACUGCCAUUUGCACCCUCUUGAUACCAUUGCCACAUCAUGUCGUUCAGCGUUGAAGUCCCUUUAGAAUGAGAGUUGUAAAUUGUAUGGAAAUGACUGUAUGGCAACUUUGAUAGUUUUGGCUAUGAAUAAAAUGAGAUAUAAAGACGUCAAAGGUGAUCCGCAAGGUUUUGUAAGUUUUUUAGAUAAUAACAAAUUACCACGUGGUAUCAUUCCAAGAUAUCGUGGAAACCGACUACACAUUCUUUUCAAUACUUGUUUUAUUUUGAUGCGGCAUUAUAGUGACUUUAAACAUUAUCUCACAAUUGGAACAGUAAAAUGUAAAAGUUUACAGGCUACUCUUCGAGGUGCUUUUUGUAAUACAACCGCCAUUAAACAAAUGUGUGUGCUUGCGGUAUUUGGAAAAGUUCUUACUGGACCCUGGAUGACAUUGUUUUAUGUAACAACAGAUAAGGCCGUGCGGUUAACCGAACCGAACCGUUCUUUCGGUGAAAACCGAAACAAAAAAACCGAAUCGAACCGAACCGAUCUAAUUAUUUAAAUCAAAAUAAAAACCGAACCGUAACUGAAAAAACUUUUAAAAACCGAUUUAAAAUUUUAAAAUUUCAAAAACAUUAUUUGACAUCAAAUUUUUAAAUAAAAUAUAAUUGUUAUUUAAUUUAAGAAGUUUCAAACCGCAGAAAAGCAAAGUUAAAAAGGGAACAAAGAAAAAUAAACAUAAUAAAAUAGCUUGCCGUGAAAUUAGAACAAAUGUUGCGGACCAUGAUGGAGUAUAAUUUUUUAAGGGUUGGAUAUCAAUAUCGUGUAGUAUAAGCUUUUUCUAAAAAGAUGUAUUUUUUUAAUCUUAUUUAAAUUUCUAAUAUUGUUUAUAAUAUUUA